rnacentral:rRNA from 1 species
UCGAACGGGCCGUAGCAAUACGGUCAGUGGCGAACGGGUGAAUAACGCGUGGGAACCUACCCCGGAGUUCGGAAUAACCGCGGGAAACUGCGGCUAAUACCGGCUACGACCUGAGGGUGAAAGGAGCAAUCCGCUCUGGGAGGGGCCCGCGUCCGAUUAGCUAGUUGGUGGGGUAACGGCCUACCAAGGCGAUGAUCGGUAGCUGGUCUGAGAGGAUGAUCAGCCACACUGGAACUGCGACACGGUCCAGACUCCUACGGGAGGCAGCAGUGGGGAAUAUUGGACAAUGGGGGAAACCCUGAUCCAGCAAUGCCGCGUGGGUGAUGAAGGCCUUCGGGUUGUAAAGCCCUUUUGGCGGGGACGAUGAUGACGGUACCCGCAGAAUAAGCCCCGGCUAACUUCGUGCCAGCAGCCGCGGUAAUACGAAGGGGGCUAGCGUUGUUCGGAAUUACUGGGCGUAAAAGGCGCGUAGGCGGCUCUGUGCGUCGAGCGUGAAAGGCCUGGGCUCAACCCGGGAAUGGCGCUCGAUACGAUGGGGCUAGAGUGCAGGAGAGGAUGGUGGAAUUCCCAGUGUAGAGGUGAAAUUCGUAGAUAUUGGGAAGACACCGGUGGCGAAGCGGCCAUCUGGACUGCAACUGACGCUGAAGCGCGAAAGCGUGGGG